UACGUAGGGUGCGAGCGUUAAUCGGAAUUACUGGGCGUAAAGCGUGCGCAGGCGGUUUUGUAAGCCAGAUGUGAAAUCCCCGGGCUUAACCUGGGAAUGGCAUUUGGGACUGCAAGGCUGGAGUGUGGCAGAGGAGACGUGGAAUUCCUGGUGUAGCAGUGAAAUGCGUAGAUAUCAGGAGGAAUACCGAUGGCGAAGGCAGGUCUCUGGGCUGACACUGACGCUCAUGCACGAAAGACGUGGG
rnacentral:rRNA from 1 species